rnacentral:rRNA from 1 species
CCUACGGGAGGCAGCAGUGGGGAAUAUUGCACAAUGGGGGAAACCCUGAUGCAGCAACGCCGCGUGAGUGAAGAAGUAUUUCGGUAUGUAAAGCUCUAUCUGCAGGGAAGAAGAGUACGGUACCUGAUUAAGAAUCCCCGGCUAACUACGUGCCAGCAGCCGCGGUAAUACGGAGGGGGCAAGCGUUAUCCGGAUGUACUGGGUGUAAAGGGGGCUCAGACGGCAGUGCAAGUCUGGAGUGAAAGCCCGUGGCCCAACCCUAGAACUGCUGGGGAAACUGUGAGGCUAGAGUACUGGAGGGGCAGGCGGAAUUCAUAGUGUAGCGGUGAAAUGCGUAGAUAUUAGGAGGAACACCAGUGGCGAAGGCGGCCUGCUGGACAGUAACUGACGUUGAGGCUCGAAAGCGUGGGGAGCAAACAGGAUGAGAUACCCCUGUAGUC